UGUGUGCUUGGAACAGCCCCCAGCACGUGGUAAAGGUCAUUGCAGAUGUCGGUAGUUAAGAUGAGGUCAUACUGGAACAGAGUGGCCCCUUAAUCCAAUAUAACUGGUGUCCCUAUAAAGAAGGGAAAUUUGGACACAGAGCUAUGCACACCAGGGGAUCUCCAUGUGAAGAUGAGGGCAGAGAUCAGAAUCAUGCUUCUACAAGCCAAGGAACCCUAGACAUGGCCAGCAAACCACCAGAAACUAGAAUUAAUUUCCUCCAGGAACGAUGAUGAAAUGUCGAUGAAAACUGAGAGAAUCCGUUGCCAGCAGACCUGUUCCAACAGAAACAUGAAAAGCAAGUUUUUUCAGAUGAAUGGCAAAUACUACCAGAGGGAAACUUAGAACAUCAAGAGUGAAGGAAGAGUAACAGAAAUGAAGCAAAGAUGGAAAGUGGAAAAGAUGAUUAAUCAUUUUGGAAGGAGGUAGAUGACUAUAGCCCAUCUCUGUGCUGACCUGGUCAUGCAGUCUUCUCUCUGGGUCAAAGUCCCACACAUCGCAAGCUUCUACUGUGUUCUCCUGAUGGUGCAGCCUUAGUGAGAUGAGUCU